rnacentral:rRNA from 1 species
GAGCUUGCUCCUUUGACGUUAGCGGCGGACGGGUGAGUAACACGUGGGUAACCUACCUAUAAGACUGGGAUAACUUCGGGAAACCGGAGCUAAUACCGGAUAACAUUUGGAACCGCAUGGUUCUAAAGUGAAAGAUGGUUUUGCUAUCACUUAUAGAUGGACCCGCGCCGUAUUAGCUAGUUGGUAAGGUAACGGCUUACCAAGGCAACGAUACGUAGCCGACCUGAGAGGGUGAUCGGCCACACUGGAACUGAGACACGGUCCAGACUCCUACGGGAGGCAGCAGUAGGGAAUCUUCCGCAAUGGGCGAAAGCCUGACGGAGCAACGCCGCGUGAGUGAUGAAGGGUUUCGGCUCGUAAAACUCUGUUAUUAGGGAAGAACAAAUGUGUAAGUAACUGUGCACAUCUUGACGGUACCUAAUCAGAAAGCCACGGCUAACUACGUGCCAGCAGCCGCGGUAAUACGUAGGUGGCAAGCGUUAUCCGGAAUUAUUGGGCGUAAAGCGCGCGUAGGCGGUUUCUUAAGUCUGAUGUGAAAGCCCACGGCUCAACCGUGGAGGGUCAUUGGAAACUGGGAAACUUGAGUGCAGAAGAGGAAAGUGGAAUUCCAUGUGUAGCGGUGAAAUGCGCAGAGAUAUGGAGGAACACCAGUGGCGAAGGCGACUUUCUGGUCUGUAACUGACGCUGAUGUGCGAAAGCGUGGGGAUCAAACAGGAUUAGAUACCCUGGUAGUCCACGCCGUAAACGAUGAGUGCUAAGUGUUAGGGGGUUUCCGCCCCUUAGUGCUGCAGCUAACGCAUUAAGCACUCCGCCUG